rnacentral:misc_RNA from 1 species
GCGACUGUUUUACGUGCGCAUCAUCAAGUUUGCCCCAAUUGCUUAGAGAGCAUCAUUGGGCUUGGUUUGGUUUCUGUGUUGGCUACCWACUUGGAAGAGAGUGUCCCUUAAUGUUUGUCUUUGUAUCGGCUUGCACCCUUUUAGGGGGAAUGCUCGGUGAUCUUAGUAAUGCUUCUCAUAUUCCAUUGUCACGCUAUCACAGUGUAGUGGUGGCAACGGCCUAUGUGUAAGUAUUCGUAAUCUUGGAUGCGGAAUAUGGAAUUGGGUAUUGGGUUGAAUAAACCUUUUAUCCCAAGCAGAGCAUCUUUAUGCUCGGCACGUACGACACUUGCAAUUGCGUUGACCUUUCCCAACUUGAUUGAUGGGGGGGCUCAUGCGAUGCAAG